CUAGCUUAARCUCAAGCAUAUCUCUGAAGAAGAUAAGAUUCUCGA
rnacentral:tRNA from 1 species